CCUACGGGAGGCAGCAGUAGGGAAUCUUCCACAAUGGGCGAAAGCCUGAUGGAGCAACGCCGCGUGGGUGAAGAAGGUCUUCGGAUCGUAAAACCCUGUUGUUAGAGAAGAAAGUGCGUGAGAGUAACUGUUCACGUUUCGACGGUAUUUAACCAGAAAGCCACGGCUCAAUAAGUGCCAGCAGCCGCGGUAAUUAGAAGGUUGCAAGCGUUAUCCGGAUUUAUUGGGCGUAAAGGGAAUGGAGGCGGUCUUUUAAGUAUGAUGUGAAAGGCGUCGGGUUAACCGGUGUAGUGCGUGGGAAACUGGGAGACUGGAGUGCAGAAGAGGAGAGUGGAACUCCAUGUGUAGCGGUGAAAUGCGUUGAUAUAUGGAAGAACACCAGUGGCGAAAGCGGCUCUCUGGUCUGUAACUGACGCUGAGGUUCGAAAGCGUGGGUAGCAAACAGGAUUAGAUACCCCAGUAGUC
rnacentral:rRNA from 1 species